CGUUUUAGAAACAUCAGUGGCCAACAGAUCGCCAGAUCGUUGAGCUGCAUUGGCGGGAUUUCGCCGUCUUCGUUUCUCUUUCUUCGCGGACGAACACGCGCUGGGCCUGCAACGGCAGGAUCCAGGGUCCUUAACGGGAUGUGCGUUAGGGGCUUGUAGCUCAGUUGGUUAGAGCGCGCGCUUGAUAAGCGUGAGGUCGGAAGUUCAAGUCUUCCCAGGCCCACCACUUUCAUCGAGUGAGCAUUCGUCUUCUGGUUACGGGGCCAUAGCUCAGCUGGGAGAGCGCGUGCUUUGCAAGCAUGAGGUCGUCGGUUCGAUCCCGUCUGGCUCCACCAGAUGGUUUGAUCACCGAGAUCUUGACCGUCGUCCGCGAAACAUCACUUCGCAUCCUGCUAGUCUGGAUAGACAGCAGUUUGCGUGUUUUCUGACAUCGUAAAGAGGAGAUCGAUCCGAGUUGGGUCGUGCAGCAUAUCGUUGCGCGAGCCUUCAUUAUCUCCGGAUCAUUUCGGCGCUCGCUUCCAGCCGUGAGGUUGGAUGCGGGUUGUAAAUGAUCCUUUUAGCGAAGCUUGACCGCCUCGCUAUCGGAACGAUCUUACGAAGCAAGCUGGUCUUUCUAGUCAAUGUCCGGCUGCGGAUAGCGUUCAUCGAGGGCGCGUGCCGCAAGGCAAUUCUGCAGACAACAUUCUGCCGAGUGUGUGGACAUUGAUAAUGAGAGCAAUCAAGUGCCUUAAGGGUGUUCGGUGGAUGCCUUGGCGCUGAGAGGCGAUGAAGGACGUGCUACGCUGCGAUAAGCCGUGGGGAGCUGCGAAGAAGCUUUGAUCCGCGAUUC
rnacentral:misc_RNA from 1 species